CUUCAUUUCCUUCUGACACCCAAGUAGAACAGGAUGGGGGCGGGGUGAGUGUGGCUGAGCAGACACUGCCUAAAACGUGAGAACAGGCCUGAAGGCUCAGAGUCAUGUGAAACACAAUUCUUCUCUAACCUCCAAAUCCUUUAAGCUCCGUGGCUGAUAGAACUAAACACGUCUGUAUUGAGUAUCUCCAGUGUUACUGCUUAAUCCAGCCUGGAAUUCCUUUGGAAGCCAUCACACUGAUGAGUUCUGAAUCACUCAGCAGUAGGAUUAUUAAUCACCAUUUCCACAAUGAAGAAGAAUGAACAAAAACAUACAAAUGAGUAUUAUUUUAAGAGCAUCUGAAACAUCAGGAGCUUAAAGACCCUCAAAAGAGCUGAUCUACUCUUCCUGACCAUUGGAAGCCAGUCUACGUCUUACUCAAGUUCUGAGCAAUGCACUCAGGCUGAGAGAGGCUCCAUUCACUUGCUGCACAUAGGGGUCUGUCUGCAUGGCCCAAGAGAAGAUCACAUAACCAAAGCGAGAGCUACAUUCCUUCUGCGGAAAACUGAACUGUUGAGUACAGUAAGGAAAAAAAAGACAGAAGGGGGGGAAAAUGGAUGGAGGUCAUUUAUGUGAGUGGCUGACAAUGCUCAGACAAAACAGUGAAUUACCUCUUGCUGUGCUGUUAGAUUCUAAAUCUGAUAUGCCCACGUUCUAAUAGAACCAGUGCCCUCUCCAAUAUCCAUAAAAUAAAUUUCCUUUUUGCUUAAA